AAGAGUUCUACAACAGCAGAGUUACUGAAAUGCUUUUUAAAUUGGUUUUUAACUAGAAAAAUAAAGAGAUAGAAUAUGGACACUUGGGAAAUAAUAAGAAAAGUGAGACAGCACUGCUACUGAUUUAAAGUCAGAAAAAGACCACUCCUGGGAGAAACACAAGUUACAUGGUAUUGCUCUUCUCACAUGAACCAUCUCCACAACCAACGUGCCCUGAAUCCCAGUGCUUGGCCAACCCCAUCACUAGUAAUCAACCAUCAUCCCAAGAAGCGAACAUAAUCAGAAGCUAAAUCAAAUAAAUAUGUCUUACUCUC